UACGUAGGGUGCAAGCGUUGUCCGGAAUUAUUGGGCGUAAAGAGCUCGUAGGCGGUUUGUCGCGUCUGGUGUGAAAAUCCAGGGCUUAACCCUGGACCUGCAUCGGGUACGGGCAGGCUAGAGUUCGGUAGGGGAGACUGGAAUUCCUGGUGUAGCGGUGAAAUGCGCAGAUAUCAGGAGGAACACCGAUGGCGAAGGCAGGUCUCUGGGCCGAUACUGACGCUGAGGAGCGAAAGCGUGGGGAGCGAACAGG
rnacentral:rRNA from 1 species